UACGUAGGUGGCAAGCGUUAUCCGGAUUUACUGGGUGUAAAGGGCGUGUAGGCGGUUCUGCAAGUCGGGUGUGAAAUUUCCGGGCUUAACCCGGACGGGUCACCCGAAACUGCGGAACUUGAGUACUGGAGAGGAUAGUGGAAUUCCUAGUGUAGCGGUAAAAUGCGUAGAUAUUAGGAGGAACACCAGUGGCGAAGGCGGCUAUCUGGACUGUAACUGACACUGAGGCACGGAAGCGUGGGGAGCAAACAGGAUUAGAUACCCGCGUAGUCCCUGAGCGGGCU
rnacentral:rRNA from 1 species